GGACGCCUCCAGGUGUAGGGAUCUGUCAGACAUCAGGAAGCUGCGGGUCGUCUCCACCAUCGGCUGAGGACCGGGCUUCUCCGGAGCGUACUGCACCUUCCUGAUCACCAGACGCACCGAGUUCCUGCAGACAGUGAACGCAUCAGUUCAACCGGUCCGACUGUCAUCGUCAUCAUCAUCAUCAUCAUCAUCAUCAUCAUCAUUAUCAUAUAUAAACAGAUAUUUGGAACUGAUUUACAUUUAAAAUGUAAAUCUUUAAUCUAAAUGUAAAACAGAACUUUGGCACGGUGCUACAAUCAAUCAAUCAAUCAAUCAAUCAAUCAAUCAAUCAAUCAAACUAGUAAUAAAUGAACCUGAAACGAGCCAUUCUGCAGUUUUACUUUUGGUACUUUCAGUUUAUGUUGACGCUGAUACUUUUUUAUUUAAAUUAGAUUUUGAAUGCAGGUAUUUUUACUCUUUAAUGUUAAUAUCUGAGUACUUUCAGCAUCCUGUUUCAUCAACAGGCUCAUUAAUUGAGGCUGAUACUCAAAUCGAGUGUUUAGUGUGCAUUUUGUUUUGUACAUUGGGAUCCAUUAGAUGUGUAUCUGUAAACUGUGACGAGAUACAAACUAAAGGAACUACGAACAGUUGCAGCUCAUCAGAACCUUAAAGCUCAGCCAGUUCCAGGAAGUGUAAAUGUGCUGGCUCUACAAAAUAAAAGCCUCCUCCGCAGUGGGAAGCUGCUGUAGGUUUAGAACUAGUUCAUGUUUGUGACCCUCAGUGUGACCCUCAGUGGACCCUCAGUGUGACCCUCAGUGUGACCCUCAGUGUGACCCUCAGUGUGACCCUCAGUGUGACCCUCAGUGUGACCCUCAGCUCUGAACCUGCAGGUCUCAACUCACCUCUUGUGAAUCUUCUCUUCUAUUGACUUGGCACAGAAAGCUCUGAUCUCAAAGUCCACACCACAGGCCUGCAGAGAGAGAGAGAGAGAGCGAGAGAGAGAGAGAGCGCGAGAGAGAGAGAGAGAGAGAGAGCGAGACAGAGAGAGAGACAGAGAGAGAGAGAGAGAGAGAGAGAGACACUCAACACCACAACCACUUCAUUCUCACAUUAGAACCUGCUGAUAUUGAGCUUUGUGCUCAGGUGCAGUUCAGAGUUCAGCACAGACACACAGUGAUAAAUGUGAAAGGUCUCUUCAGUUAUUGUGCUUCUUAAAGAAAUAAUAAUGUUUAGAUUCAUUGAUGUCAAAGUGGUUUUUAAAGCCGACUUUUAAAAGCUCUAAAGAAGAUUUACUCGACAUUAAAGACGUCACACGACUGAUUGUGAUCCAACUCGAUAUCUUACCUUCCCAGUGUCCUCUGGGCCGGGCUGUAAAGUGACUGAACACGGGAGGUUCUGAGGAAUCUGGUGAAAGAAGAAAAUACAGUCACACAACCAACUGCUGCUGAAUAAAGACUCUAUAUAUUAAUACAGCCAUAGA
rnacentral:lncRNA from 15 species